rnacentral:piRNA from 1 species
UAUUUUCCAUGUUUUGGCAAA